rnacentral:pre_miRNA from 1 species
UGGACAGAUUAUUGUAUUCGACUGUAUUCACGGCUUGGGGAUUACACUGUUUUUAAAACGGAAAGUGAAUCAAUUAACAUAAUAGACUCCU